GUUAGCUUGCUAACUUAGAUGGCGACCGGCGCACGGGUGGAGUAACGCGUAUCCAACUUCCCCCUCGACUCAGGGGAUAGCCCGCUCGAAAGGCGGAUUAACACCUGAUAGCUUCACUAGAUGGCAUCUGACGGUGAAUAAAGAUAACGGCAAGGGGAUGGGGAUGCGUCUGAUUAGCUUGUUGGCGGGGUAACGGCCCACCAAGGCAACGAUCAGUAGGGGUUCUGAGAGGAAGGUCCCCCACAUUGGAACUGAGACACGGUCCAAACUCCUACGGGAGGCAGCAGUGAGGAAUAUUGGUCAAUGGGCGAGAGCCUGAACCAGCCAAAGUAGCGUGCAGGAAGACGGCCCUAUGGGUUGUAAACUGCUUUUGUACGGGAAUAAAGUGACCUACGUGUAGGUUUUUGCAUGUACCGUAAGAAUAAGGACCGGCUAAUUCCGUGCCAGCCGCCGC
rnacentral:rRNA from 1 species